rnacentral:rRNA from 1 species
GAUGAACGCUGGCGGCGUGCCUAAUACAUGCAAGUCGAGCGAACAGACGAGGAGCUUGCUCCGCUGACGUUAGCGGCGGACGGGUGAGUAACACGUGUAUAACCUACCUAUAAGACUGGGAUAACUUCGGGAAACCGGAGCUAAUACCGGAGAAGAUAUUGAACCGCAUGGUUCAAUAGUGAAAUACGGUGUUGCGGUCACUUAUAGAUGGAUCCGCGCCGCAUUAGCUAGUUGUUAAGGUAACGGCUUACCAAGGCAACGAUGCGUAGCCGACCUGAGAGGGUGAUCGGCCACACUGGAACUGAGACACGGUCCAGACUCCUACGGGAGGCAGCAGUCGGGAAUCUUCCGCAAUGGGCGAAAGCCUGACGGAGCAACGCCGCGUGAGUGAUGAAGGUCUUCGGAUCGUAAAACUCUGUUAUUAGGGAAGAACAAAUGUGUAAGUAACUAUGCACGUCUUGACGGUAACUAAUCAGAAAGCCACGGCUAACUACGUG